UACGAACUGUGCAAACGUUAUUCGGAAUCACUGGGCUUAAAGGGUGCGUAGGCGGCUAUUUAAGUAGGGUGUGAAAGCCCCCGGCUCAACCGGGGAAUUGCGUUCCUAAACUGGAUAGCUCGAGUGAGAUAGAGGUGUGCGGAACUUCCGGUGGAGCGGUGAAAUGUGUUGAUAUCGGAAGGAACGCCGGUGGCGAAAGCGGCACACUGGGUCUCAACUGACGCUGAGGCACGAAAGCCAGGGGAGCGAACGGG
rnacentral:rRNA from 1 species